UACGUAGGGAGCAAGCGUUGUCCGGAAUCAUUGGGCGUAAAGCGCGCGCAGGCGGCCCGCGAGGUGUCACGUGAAACGCCCCGGGCUCAACCCGGGAGGGUCGUGGCAAACCGGCGGGCUUGAGGCCGGUAGAGGUGGGUGGAACUCCUGGAUGGAGUGGUGAAAUGCGUAGAGAUCAGGAAGAACACCCGUGGCGAAGGCGGCCACUGGCAGUGGCUGACGCUGAGGCGCGACAGCG
rnacentral:rRNA from 1 species